UGAAGAGUUUGAUCAUGGCUCAGAUUGAACGCUGGCGGCAGGCCUAACACAUGCAAGUCGAACGGUAACAGGAAGCAGCUUGCUGCUUUGCUGACGAGUGGCGGACGGGUGAGUAAUGUCUGGGAAACUGCCUGAUGGAGGGGGAUAACUACUGGAAACGGUGGCUAAUACCGCAUAACGUCGCAAGACCAAAGAGGGGGACCUUCGGGCCUCUUGCCAUCAGAUGUGCCCAGAUGGGAUUAGCUUGUUGGUGAGGUAACGGCUCACCAAGGCGACGAUCCCUAGCUGGUCUGAGAGGAUGACCAGCCACACUGGAACUGAGACACGGUCCAGACUCCUACGGGAGGCAGCAGUGGGGAAUAUUGCACAAUGGGCGCAAGCCUGAUGCAGCCAUGCCGCGUGUAUGAAGAAGGCCUUCGGGUUGUAAAGUACUUUCAGCGGGGAGGAAGGUGUUGUGGUUAAUAACCGCAGCAAUUGACGUUACCCGCAGAAGAAGCACCGGCUAACUCCGUGCCAGCAGCCGCGGUAAUACGGAGGGUGCAAGCGUUAAUCGGAAUUACUGGGCGUAAAGCGCACGCAGGCGGUCUGUCAAGUCGGAUGUGAAAUCCCCGGGCUCAACCUGGGAACUGCAUUCGAAACUGGCAGGCUUGAGUCUUGUAGAGGGGGGUAGAAUUCCAGGUGUAGCGGUGAAAUGCGUAGAGAUCUGGAGGAAUACCGGUGGCGAAGGCGGCCCCCUGGACAAAGACUGACGCUCAGGUGCGAAAGCGUGGGGAGCAAACAGGAUUAGAUACCCUGGUAGUCCACGCCGUAAACGAUGUCUACUUGGAGGUUGUGCCCUUGAGGCGUGGCUUCCGGAGCUAACGCGUUAAGUAGACCGCCUGGGGAGUACGGCCGCAAGGUUAAAACUCAAAUGAAUUGACGGGGGCCCGCACAAGCGGUGGAGCAUGUGGUUUAAUUCGAUGCAACGCGAAGAACCUUACCUGGUCUUGACAUCCACAGAAGAAUCCAGAGAUGGAUUUGUGCCUUCGGGAACUGUGAGACAGGUGCUGCAUGGCUGUCGUCAGC
rnacentral:rRNA from 1 species